rnacentral:snRNA from 1 species
GAUUUCUUCUUAGUGUCGAGG